rnacentral:rRNA from 1 species
AUUGAACGCUGGCGGCAGGCCUAACACAUGCAAGUCGAACGAGUGGCGGACGGGUGAGUAAUGUCUGGGAAACUGCCCGAUGGAGGGGGAUAACUACUGGAAACGGUAGCUAAUACCGCAUACCAUCGGAUGUGCCCAGAGGGGAUUAGCUAGUAGGUGGGGUAACGGCUCACCUAGGCGACGAUCCCUAGCUGGUCUGAGAGGAUGACCAGCCACACGGGAGCGGAGACAGGGUCCAGAGUCCUACGGGAGGCAGCAGUGGGGAAUAUUGCACAAUGGGCGCAAGCCUGAUACAGCCAUGCCGCGUGUAUGAAGAAGGCCCUCGGGUUGUAAAUUACGUUCAGCGAGGAGGCGUUACUCGCAGAAGAAGCACCGGCUAACUCCGUGCCCGCAGCCGCGGUAAUAC